ACUCCUACGGGAGGCAGCAGUGGGAAGUAUUGCACAAGGCGGCAAGCCUGCAUGCAGCCAUGCCGCGUGUGUGAAGAAGGCCUUCGGGUUGUAAAGCACUUUCAGUCGUGAGGAAGGUAGUGUAGUUAAUAGCUGCAUUAUUUGACGUUAGCGACAGAAGAAGCACCGGCUAACUCCGUGCCAGCAGCCGCGGUAAUACGGAGGGUGCGAGCGUUAAUCGGAAUUACUGGGCGUAAAGCGCAUGCAGGUGGUUUGUUAAGUCAGAUGUGAAAG
rnacentral:rRNA from 1 species